GCAACCCCUGUGAACAGUUGCCACCCUCGCAAGAGGAGCACUCUGUUCAGACUGCCCUGUGAAACGGGGAGGAAGGUGGGGAUGACGUCAAGUCAGGAUGGCCCUUACGGCCAGGGCUGCACGCGUACUACAAUGCUCAGUACAGAAUGAACCGAUACCGCAAGGUGGAGGAAAUCCCUAAAACUGAGCCCAAUUCGGAUCGGAGUCUGCAACUCGACUCCGUGAAGCCGGAAUCGCUAGUAAUGGCGUAUCAGCUACGACGCCGUGAAUACGUUCCCGGGCCUUGUACACACCGCCCGUCACAUCAUGGAAGUCGUUUGUACCCGAAGUGCGUGCGCCAACCUGCAAAGGAGGCAGCGCCCUAAGGUGUGAGCGGUAACUGGGAUGAAGUCGUAACAAGGUAACC
rnacentral:rRNA from 1 species